rnacentral:tRNA from 1 species
GCUAUUUUGGCAGAAUAAUGUAAUGAUUUUAGAAGUCAUGAAUAUAUAAUUAAAUUAUAUAGAUAGUA